GGGGAGUAAUAAGGAGAAGAUUAAGAUGGAAAGGGUUGUAAUCUCCUUUGUCGUAAACAGGAUUGGUGACCAACUCAUUGAAGAAGCAGUUUUCCUGAAGGAUGUGCGCCCACGAAUUGAGAGGCUGCAUAGAGAUCUGAGGGCGAUCAAUUGCUUCUUGGAAGCAGCCGAUGCAAAGCAAGAGGAAGACCCAGGGGUGCGUAACUGGGUUUCAGACAUCCGAGAUGUUGCUUAUGAUGCUGAAGACGUGGUCGACAUGUUCAUCCUCAAGGCUGAGGCCCUGAGGAGAAAAAUCCUUGUCAAGAGCAUUUUCCAAAAGCCGAGGUGUCUGCAUAACCUUGGCAAGAAAAUCGAUGACAUCCAAACUAACCUCCAAAACAUCUCAAAUACGCGGGAAAUGCUGGGAAUAAAAAAUAUUGGUGAAGGAACAAGCACUUCAACUCAGAUGCUGCAGAAUCUAAGACGGACCACUCCUCGUGCAGAAAAACAUGUCAUUGUAGGCCUGAAUGAAGAAGCCGAAGAACUUGUGAAGCAGCUGACCACAGGAGACCCAAGGCGCCGUGUGAUUUCUAUUGUCGGAAUGGGCGGCAUCGGCAAAACUACUCUUGCCAAGAAAAUCUAUAAUCAUAGCAGAGUUGUGGAUCAUUUUCAGUCUUGUCGUGUGUGGGUUUAUGUAUCCCAAGAUUGUAGACCCAGAGACAUCUUUCAACAAAUUCUAAACCAAUUUCCUUAUACACCAACGGGAGAUGAAGCAAGGAAGAUAGAGAAAUUUCAGGAGAACGAGUUGGGGUAUUUUCUUCAUGAUCAACUGAAGGAGAAAAGGUUUUUGGUAGUUUUGGAUGACAUAUGGAGAAGUGAUGAUUGGAAAUGUCUUGCUAAUGCAUUCCCAGAGGAGAGUGAUGGCAGUAGAUUACUUCUUACAACUAGAAAUAAGGAUGUUGCUUUGCAAGCAGAUGCUCAAAGUGUUCCCUACGAAGUGAAACUCCUCUCCGACGCGGAAAGUUGGAAGUUGUUUUGUAGAAGUGCAAUCCCUGACAAUGUUACUGAGAGUUGUCCUCCAGAGUUGAAGGAACUCGGGGAAAGGAUGGUGAAGAAAUGUGCCGGUUUACCAUUGGCCAUUGUUGUAUUGGGAGGCUUGUUGUCAUCCAAAAAGCAGUUGCCGACUAUGUGGGAAGAAGUGUUCAACAAACUCCGGGCGCACUUCGCAGAAAGCAAUGGAGUAGAUGCAAUAUUGAGCUUAAGCUACAUCGAUCUGCCCCACAACCUGAAAUCCUGCUUUCUUUAUCUAGGCCUCUUUCCAGAAGAUAAGGUAAUCUCCAAGAGACGUUUACUCCUUCUAUGGAUUGCGGAGGGUUUUAUUCCACAAGAUGAACAGAGAAUGGAGGACACCGCUGAGCAUUAUUUGAAUGAGUUAAUCAAUAGAAACUUGGUUCAAGUGGUGUCAGUGAGUGUUAAUGAGAGAGUUACACGAUGUCGGAUUCAUGAUCUAGUACGGGAUUUAUGCAUAAAAAAGGCGAAGGAGCAAAACUUUUUUAAGAUUGAAAAUGAUAUAGUUUCUCCUUCCUCAACUAGUUCAUCUCUCCCUUCAACCAAAUCCCGUCGACUAGGUAUCUAUUUAGACUUCGAGAGGUAUGCUUCCAGACAACAUUCAACUUCAUACGUUCGUUCUCUCCUCUUUUUCGAAUCCCGAUAUCUAUCCUCAAAUUUUAUUUUUAUUUAUAAGUAUUUCAAAUUGCUUAGAGUGUUGGACUUGGAAGCAGUAGGUAUCACAUGCCCACCAAAUCCACUUGGGAAACUAAUUCAUUUAAGAUACUUGACAUUAAAUAUUCAUCUUAUAGGUACUAAGAUCUGUCCAUACCUUUUGAGCUUCUUAGGUAAGUUAAAGGGUUUACAAACUCUGGGUGUAGGAUUGAGCUUCUCCCGUAAGUUAAAGGGUUUACAAACUCUGGGUGUACGAUUUAGAACAGAAGUACCAGUUCUGACAAAAAAAAUGGAAAAUCUACGACACCUUUCCCUCUCGUAUGAUAAAUAUGACAUCCCAUUCCGAAUUGAUACCCUGAGAAAUCUUCAAACUCUUUCAGGCAUAUAUUUUAGUGAUUGGCAACGAAAUGACACAAGUGACUUCACUAGCCUUCGAAAAUUGAAAAUAAAAGUGGAUGUUGCGACAGUGGCCGAGUUUUCAAACUCCAUUGCUAAGCUUGCGAAUCUUCGCUCCUUGUAUCUUGAGGCAGCAGUAGGACUUGACUUCAUUAUUCCAUGCUUUGUCAUGAAUUCUUGGCUUCAUCUAUCUAAGCUGCUGAUGGCAGGAUACAUACCGAUGUUACCUGAAGCACAUGAGUUCCCGCCAAGUUUAACACAAUUGACCUUGGAACAUGCCAGACUAGGCCAUGAUCAUAUGAAGAUUUUGGAGAAGCUGCCAAAAUUGUUGAUUUUCAGUUUAAGAAGUGGGGCCGAAUACCUUGAAGAGGAAAUGCAAGUAUCUGCAGAUGGCUUUCCUCAACUCAAAAUCCUUCAACUUUUUGGCUUACGAGAAUCACCAAGGUUGUUGAUUAUAAAUAAGGGUGGCAUGCCAAAACUUAAUCACUUGCAGAUUUUUGAAAGAUACUUCAACAUCGAGGGACUUGGUGAGCUCUUACAUCUAAGGAAGGUAGAUGUCAAUGUUGAAUAUCCUCGUUGGAUUUCUUCCUUGCCAUAUGCUUCUGAAUGGCAUAAAAUUAGAAGCGAGACAGAAGAGAUGGAAGUAGGCGACAAUAUAUGGCAUUUUUACCGCAGAUGAUUGCUGGGUUAUAAGCAGUAGCACAAGAAGAUUGGUGAAUCCAUACCUGAUCAAGACCUAAUCGGGCACACUGGAUCGAAUAAGGGUGCAAUUCACUUUCAUCACACAUGAUUGCUGAGGCCUAUGCAGCAAUAUGAGAAAAUUGUUUAUGCAUGGUGUGUUUGGCUGCAUGAAAAUUUGUAUAUUACUGUAAAUUAUGUGAGUCGAUAAGUGAUUAAGACCUAGCAGAGCGUGUGCUUUUCUGUUCCUGUUAUUGUAAUAAUUUGUUACUGAGAUUGUAUGCAUUUAUCUAUUCUUAUGAAUAGCAACAAGUGCGGAUUUUCUA